rnacentral:lncRNA from 1 species
AGAUAUUCCUACAAAAUCUCGUCCUUGUCAAAUGAAUUCUGAACUUGUUGAUUUCUGCAAAAAAGAAAUUGAUAAUUUAUUAGCAAAGGGACUUAUAAAACCCUCUAAAUCUCCAUGGUCUUGUACUGCAUUUUAUGUUAAUAAAGCAACAGAACAAGAAAGAGGUGUUCCCAGGUUGGUAAUAAAUUACAAACCUUUGAACAAAGUUUUAAAAUGGAUUAGGUAUCCUAUUCCUAAUAAAAAAAGAUCUUCUUUCAAGAUUAUAUGAUGCCAAUAUAUUUUCAAAAUUUGAUUUAAAAUCAGGCUAUUGGCAGAUUCAAAUUUUUAAAGGGCAUACUUAUAACACUGUGCUUAAUGUUCCCUUCGGGUAAUACGAAUAGAAUGUUAUGCCUUUUGGUUUAAAAAACACACCUUCUGAGUUUCAGAAAAUUAUGAAUGAUAUUUUUAAUCCCUAUAUGGAUUUCAUUAUUGUAUACAUUGAUGAUAUUCUUGUUUAUUCUAAAACUUUAGAAUCUCAUAUCAAGCAUCUUGAUAUUUUUAAAAAUAUUGUUAUCCAAAAUGGUUUAGUUAUAUCUAAAACCAAAAUGAGUCUUUUCCAGACCGAUGUAAGGUUUCUGGGUCAUCAAAUUUGCAAGGGGAGAAUUACUCCAAUUCAAAGAUCCAUAGAUUUUGCAUCGAAAUUUCCUGAUGAAAUCAUUGAUAAAACUAUGCUACAAAGAUUUUUGGGCAGCAUAAAUUAUAUUUCACCUUUUUACAAAAAUUUAUCUAAAGAUCUUGCUCCUCUGACAGAUAGGUUGAAAAAAGGCAGAAUGUUACCUUGGAAUGAAGAUCUUACUAAGUUGAUUAAAACCAUUAAGCAAAGAGUUAAAGUUUUACCUUGUCUUACUCUUGCUAACCCUAAUUGGAUUAAAAUCAUUGAGACAGAUGCGUCUAACAUUGGUUAUGGUGGGAUUUUAAAGCAGGUUAAUUCUAAUGACAAAAUAGAAUACCUUGUUAGAUUUCAUUCAGGCAAAUGGUCUGAUUCACAGCGAAAAUAUGCGACUGUGGCUCAUGAAAUGCUUUGUGUGGUUAAAUGUGUAUUAAAAUUCCAAGAUGACUUAUAUAAUCAAAAAUUUAUUAUAAGAAUUGAUGCUCAGUCAAUUAAGUAUAUGUUUGAUAAAGACUUCAAGCACGAUAUAUCAAAAUUAAUGUUUGCUAGGUGGCAAGCACAGUUAGCUCCUUUUGAUUUUGAAAUUCAUUAUAAAAAGGGAAGUGAUAACUAUCUUCCUGAUUUCUUAUCCAGAGAAUUUCUAAAUAAUUAAAAUGUCUCCUUAUAGUUUUGUAUUUGGAAAUAAGACUCUUAUUACAAUUUUUAUAGCUUUACAGUCAUUAAGUACAGAUUUAAAAGAAACUAUUAUUGAUAGAAUAUUUGAUAGUAUUCUAAUGGAAGAUUUCCUCCAUGAUUAUGAAACUGUUUCCCUAGAUGAUAAUAAUUGGAAAUAUGACAUCGAAGGACAUUUUGAUAAUUAUUAAAGUUUGUUCGUCUUUCCUAGAUGGCGGGAGGUAAUGAACCUCCAUGGUCACAUAUUCAUGGUCGAGGAGGAAGAAACAACAGGGGUAGAGGAAGAUCAUCCUCUUACCAAUCUACAAGGUCGUCAUACGACUCUUCUUACCCAGUUAUACGACAUGGACACAAAACCUUGAUUAAAUCAAAAGUUGGAGAAGCUUCUUCAUCAGCUUCAUCUACAUUAAAUCUUAAGGAUAUUCCGAAAGAAUGUUCAUUGUAUGAACAAAUUCAAGCAUAUCUGCAAACAAAAGAGCAAAGUCAUACUUUUGCCUCUAUAGCCAAAGAAACUGAUCCUGUCAGUAAUCCAGAAGAAACGGAUAAAAAAGAAAUUAUAUUUCUUUUGGAAAAUUCUGAUAUUCAGAGAAAAAAUGAGCCCUGGAAUAUACUCCAGAGAUAUCUCACGAAAGGAUUAUAUUUUCCUGGCGAGACAUAUAAGUCUCGAACUUACUAUGAAUCUAUUCUCAGUAAUACUAAAAGUGCAGAAUUCCAGCACUUUUCUGAUUUUGAUAAUACUAUUUAUAAUUUCUCCAAGAUAACAUUCAAGCAGAUUAUAUCAGCUGAAGAUUGGGGAAUCUCCACUCUUCAAGAAAAACAAGUUAGGGUUAAUGGGGUAAAUAUGAGUUUUACCUACUGGGAUUAUAUCCAAGCUUUUAACAAAGUUUUUUAUUAUAAUAAUUAUAAGCAAAAACACACUUGGUUUGUAAAAAUAUGUGCUAAGGUUUUUUCCAAAGAUUUACCAAACUGGUUUUUAAAUUGGUGGUCUUUCCAUGGACCAACGGUAAAGAUUUUACCAGAUAACUUUUUUAUUCUUUAUAAGGAAUGGGCAAAAGUUUCCCCAUUUAUUACAAACUUAUUUUUACAAGAUCAUGUUUCAUGUAUUGACAAGAUAGAUCAGAUGUAUUUUUUUUUUAUAGAAUUCUCAAUUCAUUGGAUCCAUAAAUGGACACCAGAAAUGGGCUAUACCCCAGGAGAAAACAUCCCUUGCUUAUACAUAAAGUAUUUUAUAAAUUUUUGGGACAAAUUAAAUCGUAAGGAUCCAUCGACAGGCAAAUUAUAUGGACAAGAACUUCUGGAUCAGAUCAGCAACACUAUAAAAAUUUAUCAAGAAAUUCCUCAAAAGGAUAUUUCUGCAGAAGGUUCAGUAAAGCAUAUUGCUAGAAGAAUUUCAAUCCAAGAAGGAAAUAAAGAAGAAUUAAUAAAUAAAUAUUUGGCCGAAAUUAAAAGGAAUCUGCUAACAAAUAUUGCAGAAUUUGAUAAAUCAGACACUUCUAUGAGAAGUGGUCAAAGCGAUACAGCUGAUGAACAGUCUGUAGAUCAAAACUGCGAGCUAUCAGAAGGAAAACUGCAACAAGUGGAAGAAUUCCUAGCAUCUAUGAAGGAACAGGAACACACAAUAAAGAAGAACUUUAAAGGAAAAGAUAAGAUUUAAAAUCUUAUCGAAAAUCAUAUCUUUUAACUGUUUAAAACAGUAUGUAGGGCCCAUAUGAGGACCCCCUCUUCACUUUUAUUAUAUAAGAAGCCUUACUUAGAGGCAGAAGUAAGUUUAGAUUUGGAAGUUUUGAGUUUUCUCUCUCUCUCUCUCUCCUUUGUAUCGUUUUGAACGAUGUUGCUUCUUGUGAUAUCUUUCCUUAGUUUGAUCCGUCUUUUGUACACAGUUUGGUAUAGAAGGACCGUCUAGUUCCAAGCAAAAGAUGGAUCAAACUAAGGAAAUAUAUCAUAAGAAGCAACAUCGUUCAAAACGAUACAAAGGAGGGAGAGAAGAGAGAGAAAACAUCAAACUUCCAAAUCUAAACUUACUUCUGCCUCUAAGUGAGGCUUCUUAUAUAAUAAAAGUAAAGAGAAUGGGCCCUACAUACUGUUUUAAACAGUUAAAAGAUAAGAUUUUCGAUAAGAUUUUAAAUCUUAUCUUUUCCUUUAAGGUUCUUCUUUAUUGUGUGUUCCUGUUCCUUCAUAGAUGCUAGGAAUUCUUCCACUUGUUGCAGCUGUCCUUCUGAUAGCUCGCAGUUUUGAUCUACAGACUGUUCAUCAGCUGUAUCGCUUUGGCCACUUCUCAUAGAAAUGUCUGAUUUAUCAAAUUCUGCAAUAUCUAAUAGCAGUUUCCUUUUAAUUUCGGGCAAAUAUUUAUUUAUUAAUUCUUCUUUAUUUUCUUCUUGGAUUGAAAUUCUUCUAGCAAUAUGCUUUACUGAACCUUCUGCAGAAAUUUCCUUUUGAGGAAUUUCUUGAUAAAUUUUCAUAGUGUUGCUGAUCUGAUCCAGAAGUUCUCGUCCAUAUAAUUUGCCUGUCGCUGGAUACUUACGAUUUAAUUUGUCCCAAAAAUUUGUAAAAUACUUUCUGUAUAAGCAAGGGAUGUUUUCUCCUGGGGUAUAGCCCAUUUCUGGAGUCCAUUUAUGGAUCCAAGGAAUUGAGAAUUUUAUAAAAAAAAUACAUCUGAUCUAUCUUGUCAAUACAUGAAACAUGAUCUUGUAAAAAUAAGUUUGCAAUAAAUGGGGAAACUUUUGCGCAUUCCUUAUAAAGAAUAAAAAAGUUAUCUGGUAAAAUCUUUACCGUUGGUCUAUGGAAAGACCACCAAUUUAAAAACCAGUUUGGUAAAUCUUUGGAAAAAACCUUAGCACAUAUUUUUACAAAUCAAGUGUGCUUUUGCUUAUAAUUAUUAUAAUAAAAAACUUUGUUAAAAGCUUGGAUAUAAUCUCAGUAGGUAAAACUCAUAUUUACCCCAUUAACCAUAACUUGUUUUUCUUGAAGAGUGGAGAUUCCCCAAUCUUCAGCUGAUAUAAUCUGCUUGAAUGUUAUCUUGGAGAAAUUAUAAAUAGUCUUAUCAAAAUCAGAAAAGUGCUGGAAUUCUGCACUUUUAGUAUUACUGAGAAUAGAUUCAUAGUAAGUUCGAGACUUAUAUGUCUCGCCAGAAAAAUAUAAUCUUUUCGUGAGAUAUCUCUGGAGUAUAUUCCAGGGCUCAUUUUUUCUCUGAAUAUCAGAAUUUUCCAAAAGAAAUAUAAUUUCUUUUUUAUCCGUUUCUUCUGGAUUACUGACAGGGUCAGUUUCUUUGGCUAUAGAGGCAAAAGUAUGACUUUGCUCUUUUGUUUGCAGAUAUGCUUGAAUUUGUUCAUAUAAUGAACUUUCUUUCGGAAUAUCCUUAAGAUUUAAUGUAGAUGAAGCUGAUGAAGAAGCUUCUCCAACCUUUGAUUUAAUCAAGGUUUUGUGUCCAUGUCGUAUAACUGGGUAAGAAGAGUCGUAUGACGACCUUGUAGAUUGGUAAGAGGAUGAUCUUCCUCUAUCCCUGCUGUUUCUUCCUCCUCGACAACGAAUAUGUGACCAUGGAGGUUCAUUACCUCCCGCCAUCCAGGAAAGACGAACAAACUUUAAUAAUUAUCAAAAUGUCCUUCGAUGUCAUAUUCCCAAUUAUUAUCAUCUAGGGAAACAGUUUCAUAAUCAUGGAGGAAAUCUUCAAUUAGAAUACUAUCAAAUAUUCUAUCAAUAAUAGUUUCUUUUAAAUCUGUACUUAAUGACUGUAAAGCUAUAAAAAUUGUAAUAAGAGUCUUAUUUCCAAAUACAAAACUAUAAGGAGACAUUUUAAUUAUUUAGAAAUUCUGUGGAUAAGAAAUCAGGAAGAGAGUUAUCACUUCCCUUUUUAUAAUGAAUUUCAAAAUCAAAAGGAGCUAACUGUGCUUGCCACCUAGCAAACAUUAAUUUUGACAUAUCGUGCUUGAAGUCUUUAUCAAACAUAUACUUAAUUGACUGAGCAUCAAUUCUUAUAAUAAAUUUUUGAUUAUAUAAGUCAUCUUAGAAUUUUAAUACACAUUUAACCACACAAAGCAUUUCAUGAGCCACAGUCGCAUAUUUUCGCAGUGAAUCAGACCAUUUGCCUGAAUGAAAUCUAACAAGGUAUUCUAUUUUGUCAUUAGGAUAACCUGCUUUAAAAUUCCACCAUAACCAAUGUUAGACGCAUCUGUCUCAAUGAUUUUAAUCCAAUUAGGGUUAGCAAGAGUAAGACAAGGUAAAACUUUAACUCUUUGCUUAAUGGUUUAAUCAACUUAGUAAGAUCUUCAUUCCAAGGUAACAUUCUACCUUUCUUCAACCUAUCUGUCAGAGGAGCAAGAUCUUUAGAUAAAUUUUUAUAAAAAGGUGAAAUAUAAUUUAUGCUGCCCAAAAAUCUUUGUAGCAUAGUUUUAUCAAUGAUUUCAUCAGGAAAUGUCGAUGCAAAAUCUAUGGAUCUUUGAAUUGGAGUAAUUCUCCCCUUGCAAAUUUGAUGACCCAGAAACCUUACAUCGGUCUGGAAAAGACUCAUUUUGAUUUUAGAUAUAACUAAACCAUUUUUGAUAACAAUAUUUUUAAAAAUAUCAUGCUUGAUAUGAGAUUUUAUAUAUAUAUAUAUAUAUAUAUAUAUAUAUAUAUAUAUAUAUAUACACACACACACACACACACAAUAUUUUCCUACUCUUUUAUUAAAAUUUAAAAAUUCUUUUUUUACACCCAAUGAUACUUAACUGACUUUUUACGUCGGAACUCAAAGCUAGACCUUUCCCAUUGGGUGUAAAAAAGAGAUUUUUUAAUUUUAAUAAAAGAGUAGGGAAAUAUUGGGAAUAUGUAAAAUAAAGUUGUGUAGUUUAGUAAUUUAUCCUAUGUAUUACCAAUUUUUUAUUCAACAAUGCUUAGAGCAUUUGCUUCGUUUUUUCCACCCUCAACGCACACGAUUGCACAUGUUGCAUCAAAAUUUAGUAUCUCUUCAAUACCUUUAUCUGAUGUAUCAAUGCACAGAGGAUACAUUCGGAAUCCCACCUCAUGUUUCUUAAUUUUUAUGUACAAUUUCAACCCUAUAGCAGUCCGAAUACACAAUGUAGACGAAUCACCUUCUACAAUAUAUCUAAUAUCAAUAUUUUUUUUUGAUUCAUCAAUACUCAACUCAGCCACAAUUGCUGAAAUAAGAUUCAUGAACGAAAUAUUUUUCCCAACCACUAUCCCAUCAUUUUUGUAUCGCUCGUAUAUAAAAUCAUUUUGUCAUGAUCCAGAAUGUCUUAACAAGAUCGAAAUAUUUAUUUUUAAAUCGUCACAAAUUGCAUUUCAACUUUUUUUAAAACUAACUUUGUGUGUUUUUUUCGAAGAACAAUGUGAAGGUUUCACAAUUUGAAAUACAUGAUUGCCCAAAUCAGUUAGAGGUUUAUGCAGAUUAGAUGCUAAAUUUGUUAGACGUCCGCGUGAACUGUGGGAUAAAUGUAAUCCCUUUUUUUACGUUGUAACUGAUAACAACAAAUGGAAAUUUUAAAGUAUCCAUCAGCUCUAAUUUAAAUAUCAUUCUGCAAUAUUUAGUAUUCGAAUUAAUAUAAAGAAAUGGAUUUUUAGUAAAUAAUGAAAGAGUAAUAUAUAUAUAUAUAUAUAUAUAUAUAUAUAUAUAUAUAUAUAUAUAUAUAUAUAUAUAUAUAUAUAUAAAAUUUACUGAAGCACUAGAUUAUGCUAGAGGGGUAUUAGGCCCAAACUACUAUAUCUCUCCCACUCUUAAACAAAAUCCAGACAAAAUUCCUCAAUACCAUAUUCAGAAAGACACAGAUAAAAUUAUAUUUUGCGAUCAUUGUUCUUCAAUGACUGAAGCUUUCAAGAGAUUAAAUCUCAAAAAUGAAUUAUUAGCUCAAGAAAAUCUCCAGCUAAAAGACAGGAUGACAAAAAUGGAGAAUGACUUAAAGAUAAAAGACAAUCAGAUCAAUAUACAGGGUUUUCCAUCCCCAAUAAAAAUGGAGGAGAUGGGUGUACAUUCGCCUCUGCAUGUAAAUAAAUCCACUGUAUCGGAUAAAGAUAUAGCUAGUCCGGUUCAAACGGUAGCUGGUAAAGACUCAUCAAAUCUGUUAAUGGCUGUCACUUUGCCAAAAAGUGAAAAAGAAGAGAGCUCAUCCUCAAGAAGACAACUACCAAUUUCUUUUAGCAAAAAAAUCAGACAAAAAACCAAAAAAUCACAAAAAAAUAAAGACUUAGAAUCCAUCAUAGACUGUAGAAAAACUACUUAAAGAACAACAAGACAAAGACAAACAUAUAAACCCCAGCCCAAUACAAAGUCUAAGACAAAAUUCAGAUUUAAGCCCAAAUAAUUUAGAUGGUUUUUCAGACACUAUUCAAUUUGCUCAAGACCCAAACGACUAUGAUUCGGGUAUGAGUUUUGAUUCCAUUGCUUUACACAACUUAGACACACAAAUAAAUAAAUAAAUAAAAAAAUACAGUCAAAAAGAGGAAUGCCUCUUUGGUCAACAAUGUGAGUCCCACUUUACUCACCACCACACAUUUGUGGAAAAACUGUUGGGACGCGUCUUUAUGUUAUUUUAAAAUAGACAGGCAUUAAGAAAUAAAGUUUCUUUUUGAAUAAAGACAAAUAAAAAGGAGAUAAUGGAAUAGAAAUAAUUCAGACAAAGGACGGAUGAUAAUGCAAAAGAAGGAAUCAUUUCACGUGCGAUGGGCCAAAUGCGCACCCGGCGGAAAAGAUGAAAUUAUUUUUCAUUCUGAAGUCCGAAGUUUGAAGUCCAUAUUUGUGUAUAUAUAGAAGUCCGAAGUUUGAAGUCCAAAGAUCUUUUUUUUUUAAAAAAAAAUAAUAUAUAUAUAAAUAUUUUCUUUAGGUUCUUAGAUCUUGUUUCAAGUUUUUGUAAAGUUACUUUGAAAGUCGUUCGGGUUUCCCGAAAGGGAAACUUCACUCUGUUCUAAUAAUGUAAGUUUUCAUAUCUAUGUUUCUGUUAAACUUCCCAUAUAUGUAAAUUAUGUGUGUUUAAUUUUUGCUAAGUUCAUGUAAAUAUAAGAAUAUUAUCAUGAAUCUAUUUUACUUAGUAUAUGGUUAAUCUCUUAGCCUCUUAAAAGUGUCGAUGGAUUAACCUGUAAAUUCCUAGGACGGAUCAGGUUAAAUGUUCUAAGAAAAGAACUGUGAAUAACCAUUUUCGGGGUGGGGUUAAAGAAGAUUACUCUUAAGAACAAAGGCUAAGGGAAAGAGAUGAACAGUAUUAAUAGAUUCAUGAAUGGACAGAGUCCAUAAAAAAAAGUUUAAACUAGAAACUAAUAUGAUAAUUACAUAAUAGAACAAGAGAGUGAAGGAGUACUGAGUAGGAUUGUAUAUUUAAUAAAAGUUUAGCUCUUUUAUAUUUACUUGGAUACCAUUUACACCAAUUACAUGGAUUACUAUCUAAUCCAGUAUUUUUUUCAAAAUUAUGUUCACAUUCUAUUAUAUUCAUAAAAUUAAUUUUUAAGUCAUCCAUGUUUAAAUUUUCUAUUCCUAUUUCAUUAAUUAAUUCUUCUCCUUCUGAAUUAGAAGAGUCUUCUUAUUUGUUAUUUUCAUCUAUAUCAAUACUUACUAUAGAAUAAAUACUUUCAUUAUCUGACAUAUAUUCAUCUACAUUUAAUAGUGCUUCAUUAAAUUCUUCUACUAAUUGAGCGUUUCUAGUCUUGGCAUUAUAUCUUUUAGGACAAGUAUUUGCUAAAUGUUCUAUACUUCCACAUGUAAAGCAUUCUAAUUUAUUUUUAUAAUUUCUAUCCGUUCUAUAUUUUCUAACAUGUCUAUCUCUGUUUAAAUAUGGUUUUCUGGCUGAAGAUCUUCUAAGAAAAUAUCCUUUUUUAUUAUAUUUCUUAUUAUUUUGUGGGUUAUAUCUUUUAUACUUUUUCUUUUUAUAUUGGUCUUUAUCAUAACUUUGGGUUGUAUAUAUUAUGUCUUUACAAAAAUUCAUUUCAUUUUGUUUUAAUUGUUUUUGUAUUUGUAAAUUAGUACAUUUUUCUUGUAAUAUCUCCAUUAUAUGUUGUAUUCUAUGUCCUAUUGACCAUUUAGCUUGAGGGUUUUGUGCUACUCCUUCUCUUUUAGUCCAUCUUUCUUCUAUUUCUCUUCCUAAGGCUCCUGGUAGUUUAUUAAAUAAUUUUUUGCCUAGGUCUUGGUCAAAAGCAUUUUCACUAAUUGUACAAUAAUAGAAAUAAUCAUUUAAAAAUUUCUUUAUAUAAUACCAAUUACUUAUAUUUAAUUGUUCUAAUUUUAUUACUGCAUUUCGUUGUAAAGCUAAUAAUCCACUAUUUGGAUCUUCUCCUGUUAUCAAUGUAUGUAUUUUAUUUGUAAAAUUAUAAGGAUUUGGUCCUAAUGAUACUAAAUACUGAAAUUCUGAUGGCUUCAAAACAUAGAUCAGCAGCCUUCAUGGUAAGAAAUCAUAAUGAAAUAGUUAGAGGAAAAACAUUUAUAUCUGACCAUCUAUUAUCAUAUAUGGUAAUUAAUGUCUUUGUUCCUAAAUUUUUUCUAGUUAAUCCUUUAAUUCCUAUUACUACUAAUCCUAAAUGCAUUAAAUCUUUUCUAACAUAUUUUAUUUCUUUUACAGAUUCUUCAUUUAUGAGGGGUAAAGAUACAGAGUUUUUUCCUAAUACCGAUAAUUGUUCCUCUCUAUAAUGUCUAUAUAAUUGAGAUUUUGAAUUUGUAUUAUAUAAAACUUUUGGAUUUAAUAAAUUUAAUUGAUUCUGUUGGAAAAUUUGUAUAUCUUUAUCUGUAUCUAUAAUUUCGUCUAAUUGUUGACUAUUUUCUUCUCUUGCCUUUCUAUUUAAUAUUUUUGAUAUAAAAUUAUUACAUAUUUUAUUCUGGGUGUAACUAGGUCCUGGUCUUUUAUCUCUUGAUCUAGUUGGAAAAAUGUCCAUUUUUUCUGUUUUUUAACUAUUUUUUCUUGUUGAGGAGUAAUUUCUAUUUUAUUUAGCUUUUCUAUUAAUUCUUCUACUCCGGUUGUGCUUAUGUUUUUCCCUUCAGAUUUUUCUUUUUUAUCUAUCUUUUUAUGUAAUUGUAAUAAAAGUGAUAUUAUUAUAUUAUUUUGUUGUAUAAUAACUUGAUCUGACUUUUAAGAUGGGUUAAAUUCUUUAUAAUCUGAUGGAAGAACUAUCUUUUUUUCUAUUAAUCUUAUUGCUUCUUUAUGUGUUUCUACUUCUAUUAAAUCUAUCAUGAAAGAACUAUUUCUUUUAUUGAUUCUAAGAGUAGAUUUUGUGUUAGGACUAGACUUUAUACUACACAACAAAGGAGGAACUUUAAUAACUAGAGACGGAAUACUUUUUAUGAAAAAUACUACUUAUACUUCAGUUUUAACUAACAAAAUUGACACUAAAGUAAGACAUAAAGAAAAAUGGUGUGACAACUGUGAAAAUAAUAUAAAAUGUAUUAAGAAGGAAUGUAAUACAUUAUAUGAGAAUAUACUAGAAAUAGAUGAAGAAAAUGAAAUAGUUAAUAAAAACUAUGUUCUAAUAGAAAUGGAGACAGAAUUAUAUAAUUUUAAGACAGGAAUUCAGCAAAUAGGACAAAUAAAAAAUCAAAAGGAUCUUGAUAAUAUAGUAAAAAUAUUAGAUCAAAUAGAAAUAAUAGGAGAAAAACCUUUAAAACAUUGGGAAAAUAAUCAAAUAGUAUGCAAACUAGAUAUAAUAAACCCAGAAUAUAUAAUAAAAACGGCCGCGAUAGAAGCCACAAAUCAAGAUCAAGAAGACUUUAAAAUACAAAUUAAAGAAUUAUUAGAAUUAGUAGAUUUUUGCUCUUCUUGCUUUUCUUCCACACUCCUUCUUCUUCUAAUAAUGUCUUCUAUAUAUACACAAAUAUGGACUUCAAACUUCGGACUUCAGAGUGAAAAAUAAUUUCAUCUUUUUCACCGGGUGCGCAUUGGGCCCCAUCGCAUGUGAAAUGAUUCCUUCUUUUGCAUUAUCACCCGUCCUUUGUCUGAAUUAUUUCUAUUCCAUUAUCUCCUUUUUAUUUGUCAUUAUUCAAAAAGAAACGACUAGUUAUGCCAUUUGGAUUAAAAACAGCACCUCUAAUAUUUCAAAGAAAAAUGGAUAAAAUAUUUGGAGAAUAUAAAAAAUUUGUUUUAGUAUAUGUAGAUGAUAUUUUAGUAUUCAGUAAAAAUAUAAAAGAACAUUUAGAACAUUUACAAACAGUCUUUAGAUUAUUUGUUAAUAAUGAAAUAAUAAUUAGUAAAAAGAAGAUAGAAUUAUGUAAAAAUUAUAUAAAUUUUUUAGGAAUCACUUUAGGAGAAGGGAAGGUUAAAUUACAACCUCUCAUAUAUAUAUAUAUAUAUAUAUAUAUUAUUAUUAUAUAUAUAUAUAUAUAUAUAUUAUUAUAUAUAUAUAUAUUAUUAUUAUUAUUAUUUUUAUGGACUCUGUCCAUUCAUGAAUAUAUUAUUACUGUUCAUCUUUUUCUCUUAGCCUUUGUUCUUAAAAGUAAUCUUCUUUAACCACACCCCGAAUUUGGUUAUUCAUAGUUCUUUUCUCAGAACAUUUAACCUGACAAUGUCCUAGGAAUUUACAGGUUAAUCCAUCGAUACUUUUAAGAAGCUAAGAGGCUAACCAUAUACUAAGUAAUAUAGAUUCAUGAUGAUAUUCAUAAAUUUACAUGAAUUUAUCGAAUAAUUAACAUUUUAUAAACACACAUAAUUUACAUAUAUGGGAAGUUUACUAGAAACAUAAAUAUGAAAACUUACAUUAUUUAGCACAGAGUGAAGUUUCCCUUUCGGGAAACUCGAAAAGCUUCCAAACUUUUACUUAAAACAAACUUUUAGAAUAAAGAACUGAAAUCUUUACUACAAUCUUUUAAAAGAUAAUUUUAAAGAGAAAAGGGGUUGUUUUGAGGAUUUUGAGAGAGUUUUUGUUGUGGUUGUCUUAGCCUUUUUCGCCUUCUGCCUUUUCUUGUCUUGAUAAUGCUUGCUUUUAUAGAGAUCUUCGGAUUUCAAAGGGAAAAGGAAUCUUAUCAUCUCAGUCGGGUACACAUCUGGGCCCCAUCGUCAGGUGAAAUAAUGUUCCUUUUCUUGCAUUAUUGUCCUUCUAGUCUGAUAUCUGUCUGUCAAUACUUAUCUCUUACCUAUACAUUAUUUUUAUUUUUAAAGUAAAGACGCGUCCCAACAGUUUUUCCACAUGUGUGGUAGUGAGUAAAGUGAGACUCACAUUUUUUUUGACAAAAGAGGCAUUCCUCUUUAAUACUAUAAUAAUAAUAGAUUUUUUUAAGUGUCUAAAUUAUGUAAUGCAAUUGAAUCAAAACUCAUACCAGAGUCAUCAUCAUUUGGGUCUUGAGCAAAUUGCAUUGAGUCUGAAAUAUUAUCUGAAUUAUUUGGGCUUGAAACAGAAUCUUGUCUUGGGCUUUGUAUUGGGCUUGGGUUUAUACGUUUAUCUUUUUCUUGUUUUUGUUUAAGUAAUUUUUCUACAGUUUGGGUUAUAAGGGAUUCUAGAUCUUUAUUUUUUGGGGAUUUUUUAUUUUUUUGUCUAAUAGUCUGGUUAAAUGAAAGUGGUAACCUUCUUCUAGAAGAUGAACCUAAAACUUCUAUCCAUGUCUGAAAAACACCAUUUGUUUUACCAUGAAUUACUACAUAAUAUUUAAAUCUAUUUUCUUUAUUUUUUCUAGUAAAAUAAUAUCCUAAAACAUUUAAAACUGCAAUUACAUAUUUAGUGUCUUUUUUAUUAUGAGCUAUCCAUAUAUUGUCUAUAAGGCAUGUUUGUUGUUUGUCUAAUGUCUGAAUGUCCAAUUAGACGGUUCGUAUGCUAUUAAAUUUUGUUGUCUAAACUGCAGUCUUUCUAUUCUAACAUCAUCAAUUUUAUCUAGAGGUUUAAAAUGCAAAUUUGCUAACAUUGUCUGUAUGUAAGAGUCUGCCAAACCUGGGUUGAAGGUUGAACCCUUUUACCUUUGUCUGAUAGUAGAUGUCUCAUUCUGUAAAAUUUAAACUUUGAUCAGUAAUCUACUUAGUUGAUCUGCAAUACUAUUAUCAUUUCCCUUGAUAUGCUCAAAAAUUCUAGAAUGAUAAAUUGAUAUAGUAUCUAAAAAAAUUAGCCAUCUUCUUCUACUACUAGUUUUAUCAUUAAUUUUUUGAUGAAAUUUUACUAUAGCUUCACAAUCUGUUCUUAUUAAUAUUUUUGGUUUAUUUAGAAUAUAAAUUUUAAAAGUAUUUAAACCAUAUAUUACAGCUAAAAUUUCAACAUCUAUACUAGCUUUAUUACCCUUUUCUUUGAAUUUUCCACUUUGAUAAGCACAUAUUUUUUCUUCUUGUUUAGAACUGUAUUUAUGUGGUCUUGAUUUUAAUACUGCACCCUAUCCCUCAAAACUUCCAUCUGUCUCUAUUAUUAAAUAGUCUGAUUCUAAUGGCAUAUUAAGAUCGGGAAUAUUUUUUUUCUUUUAUUUUUUGUACUAAUUUUAUGUCUUCAAUAUUAAAAUUUUUUUGUCCUUUAGUUCCUGUCUUAGAGUAUAAUGGUCCUGCUAUUUUUUCUAAAUCUUUAAUAAAAGGUCUUGCAUAAUUAAUUAUACCUAGAAAUUUUUGUAAAUCUUUUAAAUUAUUUAAUUUAUCUGGCAUAUCUAGAACUUUUUUAGCUAUAUGAGGUUGUAGUUUAACCUUUUCUUCUCCUAAAGUAAUCCCUAAAAAGUUUCUAUAGUUUUUACAUAAUUCUAUUUUCUUUUUGCUAAUUAUUAUUUCAUUAUUAACAAAUUGUCUAAAAACAGUUUGUAAAUGUCCUAAAUGUUCUUUUAUAUUUUUACUAAAUACUAGAAUAUCAUCUACAUAUACUAAAACAAAUUUUUUAUAUUCUCCAAAUAUUUGAUCCAUUUUUCUUUGGAAUAUUGGAGGUGCGGUUUUUAACCCGAAUGGCAUAACUAACCAUUCAAAAUGUCCUUCAAGGCAGGUAAAAGCUGUCCAUUCUAUACUAUCUGGGUGCAUUUUUAUCUGCUAAUAUCCGGACUUACAAUCAAAUUUGCUAAAAACUAUUUUUCCUUGAAUUCUAUUUAUUAAUUCUGUGUUGUCUGGUAAUUUAUAACCAUCAGUUCUAGUAUUAUCAUUUAGUCUUUUGUAAUUUAUAACCAUUCUAGCUUUUCCUCUAACUAUUUCACUAUGAUUUCUUACCAUAAAUACUGCAUAUCUAUGUUUUGAAGUAAAUCUUCUUAUUACUCCUAAUUCUAAUAGUUCUUUAAUUUGUAUUUUAAAAUCUUUUUGAUCUUGAUUUUUAGCUUCUAUUGAUGCCGUUUUUAUUAUAUAUUCUGGGUUUAUUAUAUCUAACUUGCAUACUAUUUGAAUAUUCUCUCAAUGUUUUAAAGAUUUUUCUCCUAUUAUUUCUAUUUGAUCUAAAAAUUUUAUUAUAUUAUUAAGAUCUCGUUGGUUCUUUAUAUAUCCUAUUUGCUGAAUUCCUGUUUUAAAAUUAUAUAAUUCUGUUUCCAUUUCUAUUAUAACAUAGUUUUUAUUAACUAUCUCAUUUUCUUUAUCUAUCUCUAGUAUAUUCUCAUAUAAUGUAUUACAUUCCGUUUUAGUACAUUGUACAUUAUUUUUACAAUUGUCGCAAUAUUUUUCUUUAUGUCUUACUUUAGUGUCAAUUUUCUUAGUUAAGACUGAAGUAUAAGUAAUAUUUUUCAUGAAAAGUAUCUCAUCUUUCGUUAUUAAAGUUCCUCCUUUAUUGUAUGGUAUAAAAUCUAGUCCUAACACAAAAUCUACUCUUAUAUCUAAAUCUCGUACCCAUAUUUUAUCCAUCAUAUAGGUAGGUUUAUAGAAUUCUGAACAAGUAUUUAAAAAACUUAUUUGAGUUUUAUCUAUAUAAUAUCUAUAUAUAUUAUUUGUUCCAUCCAUUUGCAUAGCUGCAAGUGGUUUUUCUAAAGUUUUUAUUAAUUCUGGAGGUACAAUUUUUUUUAUUUAAAAUACUUUUGGUACAUACUGAAUCUAUUAAUGCUAAAGUCUCUAUUUCAUAUUUUUUCCAAUUUGAAGUUUUGCUAAUAUUUUAACAGUAUUUAUAUUUUUAUCUUCAUUACAUAUUAAAGUAUUAGAUUCUUCAUUCAUUAAUUCUUGAUUAUCUAGUUGUAGUUCUUGUUCAAUAUUUUUUCCUUUUUCUAAUCUUACUAUUCUUUCUUCUAAUUCUUUAACUUUUGCUUCUAAUACUAAUACUUUUAAAUUGAUUAGAGGUUCAUUUGUAUGUAUCUCCUUCUUUUUAUGAGUUAUUAUUCCUAAUUGUGUUUCUAUACAGCUAAUACAUCCUUCUAUAAAACAUUUAUUACAUUUAGCUCUUUUAUUUUUACUUGGAUACCAUUUACACCAGUUGCAUGGAUUGCUAUCUAAUCCUGUAUCUUUUUCAAAAUUAUGUUCACAUUCUAUUAUAUUCAUAAAAUUUAAUUUUAAGUCAUCUAUAUUUAAAUUUUCUAUUCCUAUUUCAUUAAUUAAUUCUUCUUCUUCUGAAUUGGAAGAAUCUUCUUCUUUGUUAUUUUCAUUUAUAUCAAUACUUACUAUAGAGUAGAUGCUUUCAUUAUCUGACAUAUAUUUAUCUACAUUUAAUAAUGCUUUGUUAAAUUCUUCUACUAAUUGAGCAUUUCUAGUCUUUGCAUUAUAUUUUAGGACAAGUAUUUGCUAAGUGUUCUAUACUUCCACAUGUAAAACAUUCUAACUUAUUUUUAUAAUUUCUAUCUGUUCUAUAUUUUCUAACAUGUCUAUCCCUAUUUAAAUAUGAUUUUCUUGCUUAAGAUUUUCUAAGAAAAUAUCCUUUUUUAUUAUAUCUGUUAUUGUUUUGUGGAUUAUAUUUUUUAUACUUUUUCUUUUUAUAUUGAUUUUUAUCAUAAUUUUGGGUUGUAUAUAUUAUAUCUUUACAGAAAUUCAUUUCAUUUUGCUUUAAUUGUUUUUGUGUUUGUAAAUUAGUACAUUUUUUUUGUAAUAUUUCCAUUAUAUAUUGUAUUCUAUGUCUUAUUGACCACUUUGCUUGAGGGUUUUGUGUUACUCCUUCUCUUUUAAUCCAUCUUUCUUCUAUUUCUCUUCCUAAAGCUCUUGGUAGUUUGUUAAAUAAUUUUUUACCUAAAUCUUGGUCAAAGGCAUUUCCACUAAUUGUACAAUAAUAGAAAUAAUCAUUUAAGAAUUUCUUUAUAUAAUACCAAUUACUUAUACUUAAUUGUUCUAGUUUUAUUACUGCAUUUCGUUGUAAGGCUACUAAUCUACUAUUUGGAUCUUCUCCUGUUAUUAAUGUAUGUAUUUUAUUUGUAAAAUUAUAUGAGUUUGGUCCUAAUGAUACUAAAUACUGAAAUUCUGAUGGAAAUUCUACUUUAUAAGCUUCCCAUAGAGCUUUGGUUGAUUCUCCUAGGAAUGUCUCUAAGUAUUUAUACAUGGUUUCAGCAUCAGUUUCUGUAUAAUUUUUUAUAAAAUCUGCUACUACUAUUCCUUCCCAUAAAUCUAUUACUGAAUUCCAUCUUUGUGGAUCUGUGCCGCUAUAUUUAAAAUUUUUCCUUUACUUCCUCCCUCUUGGAGUAUUUUUGGUUCUUCUAUAAACAUUCCUUUUCCCAUCGGUUUAACUUCUGAUAUUGGGGUAUCUCCUUGUCUAUAUACUCUUCUACGUGGUAUAUUUCCUGUGCUAUUAUCUGCAGUAUAUCCUUGUUCAUUUGUUCUUUGAAAUGGACUACUAGAACUUGUUGUUUCCAUUAAUUCUUUUUGACUUAGGGCCCGUUUGGCCAUAAAUUUUGCAAGUAAAAUUUGGGAAAAAACUUGGCAAAUUUUGUUUGUCCAUACACUUUUUUAUUAUUUGGCAAAUUUUUUUGGCAAAUUUUUCAAAUUCCCAAAUACUAGAAAAAACUAGUAUUUGGGCCAAAUUUCAUUAUUUGGAAAGUUUUAGAAAUUCAAUUUUUACCCUUAACUUUUUAUUUUACAAAAAUAAUAUAUUUAUUAACACCAAUCAAUUCAAUUAGCUCCCUUCCACAUACAUUCUUUUGAUUUCAUACAUUCCUUUGUUACAGUUAGUCUUAAUGAACUAGCUACUAAAUAAAACAUGAAUUGCAUUUAUUUUAUUUUGGUAGCUAAAUAUAACGUUGUUGAUGCUGGUCUACGGAACACAAGAGGAUUUUUAGCUCAAUUCAUUGGAAUGCGCUAUCAUUUGCAGGACUACCGAGGAAGUGAAAGAGAGCCUAAGAAUGGAAAAGAGCUAUUUCACUAUAGACUUGCUUCUCUGCGCAAUAUAAUUGAAAGAACUUUUGGUGCGUGGAAAAGUAGAUUCAGAAUACUAAUACAAGGCAUGAACAACUAUGGAUGUGACAUGCAAGUGAAAAUAGUAAUUGCUUGCGUUGUAUUGCAUAAUUUUUUACGUGAACACCAAAGUAGUGAUGGAAUAUUCAAUGAAUAUGAAAAUGAUGAUAUGGUUGUUGAUGAAAGUGACGAACUACUGGCUCAGGGUAACAACAUCGCUUCAUCUUCUCGAUCGUCUGAUUCGAAAAUGCAAGCUCAUGAGAAGAGAUUGUUCAUAAAAUGUGGGAAGAUUAUAUUAAAGAAUAGGUUGAACUCUUUCAGAAGAGAAAGCAUAGGUUCUUCAGUGAUUGCAAUAUUUAUUUCCUUUCGUUUUCUUCUCUUUUUUUUCCCGAAUUUAUAUUAGUUGUAUUUUCAUUAUCAUGAUUUAUACCAAGACCUUUUCACUAUACGAAUAUUUACUGUAAUGAUUCUUGUUGAUUUGUUGCGGAAGUCAUAAAUCUUGUUACGUGAGAUUUCUAUUGUGCUAUGUAAUACAAAUUUAUGGUUAGUUUGAUAGUUUAAAAAAGGGAUAAUGCCCAAGUACCCCCUCAACCUAUGUCCGAAAUCUCAGUGACACUCUUAUACUAUACUAAGGUCCUAUUACCCCCCCGAACUUGUUUUAUUAAUAAUUUUUUACCCCUUUUUAGCUUAUGUGGCACUAUCUUGUGGGCCCAACGAUGGUUGACUUUUUUUUUCGAACUAGUGCCACGUCGGCUAAAAAGGGGUAGAAAAUUACAUAUAAAAUAAGUUCAGGGGGGUAAUAGGACCUUAAUAUAGUAUAAGUGUGUCUCUAGGAUUUCGGGCAUAGGUUGAGGGGGUACUUGGAUAUUUUCCCUUUUAAAAACUUAUGGGUAUAAAUCAUAUUUCUUAAAAAAAUGAAAUAUAUUUCUCAAAUUUUAUAGCCAAACACAUGGUAAAAUUUCACCCAAAUUUUCAUCCAAAUAUUUGCCAAAAAUAUUUGAAUAUCUAUGGCCAAACGCUAGCUUAGUAUAGAUUGUAACUCAGAUAUUUCACUAUCAUUAUCUUGUAUUUGUGUCAUUAUGUUAUUGCUUUUUUCUAAUUUAUCUUGUAAACUCUUUUCUAAUCUAUAUCCUUUAUUAUCAGUGAAAUGAGAUAUUGUUUGUUCUAAAUUUAAGUCUUUUAAUUUACAUCUUUUGCAUGUAAAUAGUCUAUUCUUAUUGUUUUUACUUAUUUCUUUGGCUUUUUCUAUAGCCAAAUCUACUGCAAAAUCUUCUUCUAAUAUUAUUUCUAUAUUCAUUCCUUCUAAAGGUAUUUCUUCUACAACACUUUCUUCUUCAAAGUCUUUUUAAGCUUCAUAAUUGUAAUCUCUAAAUCUAAUAGAAGGUUCUCCUUUAGAAUUUGUAUAUAUUAAAUGAUCAUUUGGUAUUAAUGCUUCUUUUUCUUUAAAAUCUCCUAAUUUUCAUUCUAAUCCUGCAUAUUCUUCAGGACUUAUUUUUAUAGGUUUUAUUAAUUUUAUCCCCUUAUUUUUCAUUACUUCUACUACAUCUUUUAUUUGUAAUUUAAAUCUAGUGUUACUAUUAUCUGUCAUUUUUCCUAAAAAUCCUACACACAUUAAUAAAUUUUUUCCACUAUGCAUCUUUUCAUAUCCUUUAGUUUGUAUUGCUAUUUUUAUUUUGUUUCCAAAUUCAUUUAAAUUCAUCAUAAAAUUUGAACUUAUGUAAAAAAAUCCUCCAUUAUUAGUCAUAUCUACUUCUGUUAAUCCUAUAAUUGCUUUUUUUAUGUCUGAUCAUCUAUUAUCAUAUAUUGUAAUUAAUGUCUUUGUUCCUAAGUUUUUUCUAGUUAAUCCUUUAAUUCCUAUAACUAUUAAUCCUAUAUGCAUUAAGUCUUUUUUAACAAGUUUUAUUUCUUUUAUAGAUUCAGCAUUUAUGAGUGGUAGAGAUACAGAGUUUUUUCCUAAUACUGAUAAUUGUUCUUCUCUAUAAUGUCUAUAUAGUUGAGAUUUUGAGUUUGUAUUAUAUAAAACUUUUGGAUUUAAUAAAUUUAAUUGAUUUUGUUGAAAGAUUUGUAUAUCUUUAUCUGUAUCUAUUAUUUCUUCUAAUUGUUGAUUAUUUUCUUCCUUUGUCUUUCUAUUUAAUAUUCUUGACAAAAAAUUAUUGCUUAUCAUAUUCUGGGAGUAACUUGGUCUUGGUCUUUCUUAUGCUUUCUCUCUUGAUCCAGUUGGAAAAAUAUCCAUUUUUUCUGUUUUUUAAUUAUUUUUUCUUUUUGAGGAGUAAUUUCUAUUUUAUUUAACUUUUCUAUUAAUUCUUCUAUUCCGGUCGUGUCUAUAUUUUUACUUUCUGAUUUAAAAUUUUUAUCUAUCUUAUUAUGUAGUUGUAAUAAAAGUGCUAUUAUUAUAUUGUUCUGUUGUAUAAUAAUUUGAUCUGAUUUUGAAGGUGGAUUAAAUUCUUUAUAAUCUAAUGGAAGGACUAUUCUUUUUUCUAUUAGUUUUAUUGCUUCUUUAUGGGUUUCAGAUUCUACUAGCUCUAUCAUGAAAGGACUAUUUCUUUUAUUGAUGCUAAUUCUGUCUUUAUUUUUUGUAUUUUUAUUAUUAAUGUAUUACUAACUUCUUCUUUAGAUUUAUUUUUUUACUCGUUUAAUUUUUUACUUAAAUCUACUCCUUGUUCCUUAAGGUAAUCUAAAUUAUUUUCUAUCUUACUAAAGAGUUGUUUUUGUUUAUUUUGCGUUUCUUCCUGUUCACUUAAUAUUUUUAUAAUUUUGUUGUUUGAUUCUUUUAUUUUUUCACUGGGAUUGAUUAUCAAAUCUAUUAAAGUAUUAUCUUGAGCGUCUUCUGUAUGUAAGCAAUGAUUUCCGUUCUCAAAGUUACAUUUAAUUAGAUUGUCUGAUUUUAAUCUUUGAAAUCUUUUUUCUAUAUUUAUUUAUAAGUCUAAGUAUUCUAUGUUUUUUAUUGAAGUUAUUGUUACUAUUGUUAUUUUAUCCUAAAGUAGUUGGGUACUUAUAUUUGUAAAAGUUUUUUAUUCUUUUAUUAUAAUUAUGUAUAACAUCACUAAUUCUUUGUAAUUCCCAUUUUAAAGCACUUAAAUAUUCUUCGUUAUUUAUAUGUCUUUGAAAAUAAAUAGUGUUUGGUAUAAAAAAUUCAUUUUCGUAUAUAUAUAUAUAUAUAUAUAUAUAUAUAUAUAUAUAUAUAUAUAGAUUUUUCUAUUCUUUGUAAUCUUUUCUUUUCUUCUAUAUCUCUAUAUAAUAGUCAAUAAUCAAGUCUUAUUCUUUCAGCAAAUGAAAUAUUUCUCAUAAAGUAUUUUUAAUUAAAAUAUUUCUAGAUAUAUGAUGCCUUAUUAAUUUUUGUUCUAAUAUUUCUAAUUUAUUAGUUAUUUCUUUUUUAAAGCUUGUAAUUUUUAGGUCUUUUAAUAACAUAUCUGCUUUUAUAUAUAAGUCUUGUAAUUCUCUUUUAACCUUUUUAUAUUUUCUAGUAUUUUUAUAUGGUCUUCUCAUAUAUUAUCCUACCGGAUUAUAGUAAUAAGGAUUAUUUUAAUUCUUUCUCUUAUUUCUUUUAUUUCAAACUCUACUUGAUUUAUUUCUCCACUAAUUUGUUGUUGAGAUUGUAUAAGAGUUUCUCUAAGAGUCUUUACAGAAUUUUUAUAUGUAUAAGUUAAAAGUAAUCUUAAUUUUAAUGUAAGUAAAUGACUUUCUAAAGAUUUUUUAUAUAAUUUAACUAUUUUUAAAUGUUGUCUAUUAUAAAACAACGUUCUAUGGUAAGCAAACGUUUUUCUAAAAUAAUAAUCUUUUUUCAUAUAAGGUCUUUUAGAUCUAAGGCUCUGAUACCAAAAAAUAGGCUGAUGUUUAGUCUGGGAUUCUAGACAAGAUGUACAAACUCGCACAGAUAUACAGGGUUUUCCAUCCCAAAUAAAAAUGGAUGAGAUGGGUGUGCAUUCCCCACUGAAUGCUAAGAAAUCCACUGUAUCGGAUGAAGAUAUAGCUAGUCCGGUUCAAACGGUAGCCGGUAAAGACUUCUCAAACCCGUUGAUGGCCGUCACUUUGCCAAAAAGUGAAAAAGAUGAAGGUUCAUCUUUUAGAAGAAGGUUACCACUUUCAUUUAACCAGACUAUUAGACAAAAAAUUAAAAAAUUCCAAAAAAAUAAAGAUAUAGAAUCCCUUAUAACCCAAACUGCAGAAAAAUUACUUAAACAAAAACACGAAAAAGAUAAACAUAUAAACCCAAGCCCAAGACAAGAUUCUGUUUCAAGCCCAAAUAAUUCAGAUAAUAUUUCAGACUCAAUGCAAUUUGCUCAAGACCCAAAUGAUGAUGACUCUGGUAUGAGUUUUGAUUCAAUUGCAUUACAUAAUUUAGACACUUAAAAAAAAUCUAUUAUUAUUAUAGUUUUAAAGAGGAAUGCCUCUUUUGUCAAAAAAAAAAAUGUGAGUCCCACUUUACUCACUACCACACAUGUGGAAAAACUGUUGGGACGCGUCUUUACUUUAAAAAUAAAAAAAUAAUGUAUAGGUAAGAAAUAAGAGAUAAGUAUUGACAGACAGAUAUCAGACUAGAAGGACAAUAAUGCAAGAAAAGGAACAUUAUUUCACGUAACGAUGGGGUCCAGAUGUGUACCAGGCUGAGAUGAUAAGAUUCCUUUUCCAUUUGAAAUCCGAAGUUUGAAGUCCGAAGAUCUCUAUAAAAGCAAGCAUUAUCAAGACAAGAAAAGGCAGAAGGCGAAAAAGUCUAAGACAACCACAACAAAAACUCUCUCAAACUCCUCAAAACAACCCCUUUUCUCUUUAAAAUUAUCUUUUAAAAGAUUGUAGUAAAGAUUUCAGUUCUUUAUUCUAAAAGUUUGUUUUAAGUAAAAGUUUGGAAGCUUUUCGGGUUUCCCGAAAGGGAAAAUUCACUAUGUUCUAAAUAAUGUAAGUUUUCAUAUUUAUGUUUCUAGUAAACUUCCCAUAUAUGUAAAUUAUGUGUGUUUAUAAAAUGUUAAUUAUUUGAUAAAUUCAUGUAAAUUUAUGAAUAUCAUCAUGAAUCUAUAUUACUUAGUAUAUGGUUAGUCUCUUAGCUUCUUAAAAGUAUCGAUGGAUUAACCUGUAAAUUCCUAGGACAUUGUCAGGUUAAAUGUUCUGAGAAAAAAACUAUGAAGAACCAAAUCCGGGGUGUGGUUAAAGAAGAUUACUUUUAAGAACAAAGGCUAAGAGAAAGAGAUGUACAAUAAUAAUAGAUAGAUUCAUGAAUGGACAGAGUCCAUAAAAAAAAAGGGAAGUUGAAACUAGAAACUAAUAUGAUAAUUAUAGUGAAGGAGUACUGAGUAGGAUUGUACAAUAUUAAAGGUUUAACGAAUUUAUUGAACCAUAUAUUGAAAAAAAUAAUUUAUCGAAACAUCAACAUUAAAGGUUUAACGAAUUUAUUGAACCAUAUAUUGAAAAAACCAAUUUAUCGAAACAUCAACCUAUUUUUUUUUAGAAGACCCACCGGAAUUUAGGCUUUCGAGUUUUUCAAAUUCUUUUGUUUGUCAUAGUCCACAAAAUUGUUUGGCAUUUGAAAAGGUUGUUCACAACAUUGGAACUAUGAUCAUGGAAAAACUACUAAAAAACACAUCUAAUAUUUUUAUUAUUUUUAAUAUUUCAUUUUAUUUUUGAAAAUCUUUAAUACUUCUUAUUUCUUUAAUGUAUUCGAGCCAGUAUUUACUGUAAUUGAAUUACAUAUUAUGUAUUUGGUUUAUUUUAUCUGGUUCAUUUUAUAAUGUAUUCGAGCUACAUAUUAUGUAUUCAAUUUAUAUUAUAAUGUAUUCGAGAUACUCUUUAAUGUAUCUGAGCUACAUAUUAAUGUAUCUGAUUUGUGUUACUUUUUAAGGCAUUAAUACAAUUACAAACUAAAGAGAGACAUAUUGUAAUUUCAUCUUAAAACUAUAUGACCUAAAAGUUAUCCUUUGAUUAUUCUCCUAUAUACAUAAAAAGUUUUUUACUCUAGCUACACUGUAAUUUUCCGAUGAAGAGGCAUCCGUCGAUACCCCUCUACAUGUGGUUCCACCAUUGCCCACAUCUUGAAAUGUUCUUUAUGAAUAUCCAAAGUUUAUGGAAUAUUCGAGAUUUUCUUGAGAAAGACAAUACGUGAUGUCUUCAUGCUCUCUUGUGAAAAUCCAUGGGUUAUAAAAUAUUCGAGAUGUCUGUCUUUUUUAAGGAAAUAUAUUACCUUUUAAAUAGAUAUAAACUAGAACUUAGUGUAGAGUAAUCUUUAAAUAAAAAAAAUAUUUUGAAAUUGAUCUAAAUAAAAUUAAUUUAUCUAAAUAUUAGUGCAUGCCUUUUAUGGCCUUGAUUUGUAUAAAAGAAAUAAUUGUACAAACAUGGUAGUUUGGCUUGCUUACGUGUUUUUCUAGCUCAAGUUAUUUUCUAAGAGUUUUUAAGUUGAGUGACUUCACACCGACAAAAAGUAGUUUUUAUUUUUUUAUUUUUAUAUAGAUAAAAAACUCUAAAUUUGAUUAAUAUUUGAGAAAUUAACUCACAGAAAUUUAACUACUCUAUGUUUUUCAUAUCCUUCAAAAUUUUCUUUUGAAUGUAUACCAAUUUUUUUAAGAAUUAUGUAUUUUUUAGAAGUCGAAUGGAGUGUGACAAUAUAGUCAAUGGAUCUAAUCAAAUAUAGUUAAUAAUGACUACUAGGUAUGCAUUUCAUCAUCAUAGUGAAUAAAGUGCAAAUAUUUUUUUUAUAAGAAUACAUUUAGGAUGAGGUUUUUCUCAAAAGAGUUAAAGAUUGCAAUAGCACACAAUAAAUAUUUUAAACUAGAAGUAAAUGAAGAACAAUAUUACUUGUAUGAGCAUAAUAUAUAGUUGCAUUAUCUCAUUGCCUCUUCUUUCAUUGUGGCUUGCUUUCUUCUUUCUCUUUUGGUUUUUCUUCUUCUACCUUCUUAUCUUUAGGUUUUGCUUCUUCAACUUUGGCUUUAGGUUUUGCUUCUUCUUUGGCUUUUGGUUUUCCUUUUUGGGGCUUCAUGAAACAAAAACAAGAACAACAUGGACAUUGGAACAAGAACUUCAUUCUCUCUCUCUCUCUCUCUCU